rnacentral:misc_RNA from 1 species
CCGAGCGAGAAUUCUCUGAAUUCAACCUCCCACCCGUGUUUAUUGUACCUUGUUGCUUCGGUGCGCCCGCCUCACGGCCGCCGGGGGGCUUCUGCCCCCGGGCCCGCGCCCGCCGAAGACACCAUUGAACGCUGUCUGAAGAUUGCAGUCUGAGCAUCUUAGCUAAAUCAGUUA